UUUCUUAUGUACUGAAAGUUGCAAAAACUGCAGGCAGAAAAAGAUUUUCAUUAAGUCAGUUUGAAAAAGUCUACAAUUGAAAGGAGGUGUGUCAGGAGGUAAGCUAGUGAGCCUUAUACAUAUCUGUGCUUGCUAUAGUGUGUGAGAGCUGCUCUACAGGAAAAAAAAGAAAACAGACUGUUUUACUGUAGCAAGGGGAUAAAACAUGGUACUUGGUCUCAGCUUUGCCCCACUAUCUGCCCUCCAGUGGCCAAGUCCAAUCCUUUUGCAUCUACAGACUCUCCCAGAAUAACAAAAUAAUAUCAUUCAGCAUUCCCUUAGGACACUAUGAGCACUAAACAGAAUCAUUUUCUUUUUCAGGUGGAGAAUCUGCUAUUCACUAAAACACCAGCACGAGCAUCCUCAUGGCAUUUUAACAAGAAAUAGCUAUGGAGGCAUUUUCUGUUAAUAUUUCAAUGUACUAUAAGGGCUCCUCUCCCUGUACUCAGCAGAGCAGCUCCGCUGGGUGACAACCGGAAGGUGGGCUGCGAUAAGCGCGGUGCUGCUGAGCCUCGCAGCGGCAGCAGCCUCUAAGCCGGAGCUGCAUGGAGCAACUGCUUGGAUGGGCUGUGGUGGCCGUGCGACUGGAAACAUCAUUAUCAUAAUGAAUAGGCACAGAUCUUGAGUGGGCUGACAGCGCUGGAUUUACAAACCUGUGCUAAAGCAUGCUGGCUGGA
rnacentral:lncRNA from 1 species